rnacentral:rRNA from 1 species
GACAGAGGAUGCAAGCGUUAUCCGGAAUUGAUUGGGCGUAAAGCGUCUGUAGGUGGCUUUUUAAGUCCGCCGUCAAAUCCCAGGCUCAACCCUGGACAGGCGGUGGAAACUACCAAGCUGGAGUACGGUAGGGGCAGAGGGAAUUUCCGGUGGAGCGGUGAAAUGACGUAGAGAUCGGAAAGACACCAACGGCGAAAGCACUCUGCUGGCCGACACUGACACUGAGAGACGAAAGCUAGGGGAGCGAAAUGGGA